GAUGAACGCUGGCGGCAUGCCUAACACAUGCAAGUCGAACGAUCUUAACCUCGGUUAAGAUAGUGGCGCACGGGUGAGUAACGCGUAAGAAUCAACCCUGAGGAGGGGGAUAACAGUUGGAAACGACUGCUAAUACCCCAUAUGCUGAGGAGUGAAACGACUUCGGUCGGCCUUGGGACGAGCUUGCGUCUGAUUAGCUAGUUGGUGGGGUAAUUGCCCACCAAGGCGACGAUCAGUAACUGGUCUGAGAGGAUGAUCAGUCACACUGGAACUGAGACACGGUCCAGACUCCUACGGGAGGCAGCAGUGAGGAAUAUUCCGCAAUGGGCGAAAGCCUGACGGAGCAAUGCCGCGUGAAGGAUGAAGGCCUGUGGGUCGUAAACUUCUUUUCUCAG
rnacentral:rRNA from 1 species